AGAGUUUGAUCCUGGCUCAGGAUGAACGCUAGCUACAGGCUUAACACAUGCAAGUCGAGGGGCAGCAUGGUCUUAGCUUGCUAAGGCCGAUGGCGACCGGCGCACGGGUGAGUAACACGUAUCCAACCUGCCGUCUACUCUUGGACAGCCUUCUGAAAGGAAGAUUAAUACAAGAUGGCAUCAUGAGUCCGCAUGUUCACAUGAUUAAAGGUAUUCCGGUAGACGAUGGGGAUGCGUUCCAUUAGAUAGUAGGCGGGGUAACGGCCCACCUAGUCUUCGAUGGAUAGGGGUUCUGAGAGGAAGGUCCCCCACAUUGGAACUGAGACACGGUCCAAACUCCUACGGGAGGCAGCAGUGAGGAAUAUUGGUCAAUGGGCGAGAGCCUGAACCAGCCAAGUAGCGUGAAGGAUGACUGCCCUAUGGGUUGUAAACUUCUUUUAUAAAGGAAUAAAGUCGGGUAUGGAUACCCGUUUGCAUGUACUUUAUGAAUAAGGAUCGGCUAACUCCGUGCCAGCAGCCGCGGUAAUACGGAGGAUCCGAGCGUUAUCCGGAUUUAUUGGGUUUAAAGGGAGCGUAGAUGGAUGUUUAAGUCAGUUGUGAAAGUUUGCGGCUCAACCGUAAAAUUGCAGUUGAUACUGGAUAUCUUGAGUGCAGUUGAGGCAGGCGGAAUUCGUGGUGUAGCGGUGAAAUGCUUAGAUAUCACGAAGAACUCCGAUUGCGAAGGCAGCCUGCUAAGCUGCAACUGACAUUGAGGCUCGAAAGUGUGGGUAUCAAACAGGAUUAGAUACCCUGGUAGUCCACACGGUAAACGAUGAAUACUCGCUGUUUGCGAUAUACGGCAAGCGGCCAAGCGAAAGCGUUAAGUAUUCCACCUGGGGAGUACGCCGGCAACGGUGAAACUCAAAGGAAUUGACGGGGGCC
rnacentral:rRNA from 1 species